AACGAACGCUGGCGGCAGGCUUAACAUAUGCAAGUCGAGCGCCCCGCAAGGGGAGCGGCAGACGGGUGAGUAACGCGUGGGAAUCUACCCAUCUCUACGGAAUAACGCAUGGAAACGUGUGCUAAUACCGUAUACGUCCUUCGGGAGAAAGAUUUAUCGGAGAUGGAUGAGCCCGCGUUGGAUUAGCUAGUUGGUGGGGUAAAGGCCUACCAAGGCGACGACCCAUAGCUGGUCUGAGAGGAUGAUCAGCCACACUGGGACUGAGACACGGCCCAGACUCCUACGGGAGGCAGCAGUGGGGAAUAUUGGACAAUGGGCGCAAGCCUGAUCCAGCCAUGCCGCGUGAGUGAUGAAGGCCCUAGGGUUGUAAAGCUCUUUCACCGGUGAAGAUAAUGACGGUACCCAAAGAAUAAGCACCGGCUAACUUCGUGCCAGCCGCCGCCGUAAAAC
rnacentral:rRNA from 1 species